rnacentral:rRNA from 1 species
AUACGUAGGGGGCGAGCGUUGUCCGGAAUGACUGGGCGUAAAGGGUACGUAGGCGGCCAGGUAAGUCAGAUGUGAGAGGCAUAGGCUCAACCUGUGUAAGCAUUUGAAACUGUCUGGCUUGAGUUAAGGAGAGGAAAGUGGAAUUCCUGGUGUAGCGGUGAAAUGCGUAGAUAUCAGGAGGAAUACCAGUGGCGAAGGCGACUUUCUGGACUUAAACUGACGCUGAGGUACGAAAGCGUGGGGAGCAAACAGGAUUAGAUACCCUGGUAGUCCACGCCGUAAACGAUGAGUGCUAGGUGUCGGGGGUUAAACCUCGGUGCCGGAGUUAACACAUUAAGCACUCCGCCUGGGGAGUACGUUCGCAAGAAUGAA